UCCUGGCUCAGGAUGAACGCUGGCGGCGUGCCUAACACAUGCAAGUCGAGCGGGAGUACGUCAAACAGAGAUUCGUCAAAGCGAGACGUAUGAGAGCGGCGGACGGGUGAGUAACGCGUAGGUAACCUACCUUAAGCUGAGGGAUAACCCCAGGGAAACCCCGGGAUAAUACCACAUAAUGCGAUCUGGUCACAUGGCCGGAGCGCCAAAGAUUUAUCGGCAUAAGAUGGACCUGCGUCUGAUUAGCCAGUUGGUGGGGUAACGGCCUACCAAAGCAACGAUCAGUAGCCGACCUGAGAGGGUGAUCGGCCACAUUGGAACUGAGACACGGUCCAAACUCCUACGGGAGGCAGCAGUGGGGAAUAUUGCACAAUGGGCGCAAGCCUGAUGCAGCAACGCCGCGUGAGCGAAGAAGGUCUUCGGAUCGUAAAGCUCUGUCCUAAGGGACGAAGAAGUGACGGUACCUUAGGAGGAAGCCCCGGCUAACUACGUGCC
rnacentral:rRNA from 1 species